CUCAGUGGUAGUUGAUCCCGGUGGAACAGUCGUUGUUUCAGGAGGUUGAGUAGUUGAUCCUGGUGGACCAGUUGUUGUUUCAGGAGGUUGAGUAGUUGAUCCUGGUGGGGCAGUUGUUGUUUCAGGAGGUUGAGUAGUUGAUCCUGGUGGACCAGUUGUUGUUUCAGGAGGUUGAGUAGUUG